UACAGAGGGUGCGAGCGUUAAUCGGAAUUACUGGGCGUAAAGGGCGCGUAGGCGGUUUAGUGAGUGUGAUGUGAAAGCCCUGGGCUUAACCUAGGAAGAGCAUCGCAAACGACUAAACUGGAGUAUAUGAGGAGGGUGGUGGAAUUUCCGGUGUAGCGGUGAAAUGCGUAGAGAUCGGAAGGAACGUCAAUGGCGAAGGCAGCCACCGUGGCAUAAUACUGACGCUGAGGCGCGAAAGCGUGGGUAGCGGAACAGG
rnacentral:rRNA from 1 species